rnacentral:lncRNA from 10 species
AGGUUAUGCACAUAUAUUGGUAGGAGCUAUAUGGGAAAUCUCUCUACUUUCAGCUCAAUUUUGCUGUGAACCUAAAAUUGCUCUUAAAAAAUAAAGUGUGUAAUCAAAAAAUACUCCUUGUUAACUAACAUGAUCCAUAUCUUACAGAUGGGAAACUGCCCCUUCUUUUACAGGAGGAUACAAUAUGUUAGCUGUAGAGCCAGUACUGUAACCUUGACCUUCAUUUCAAGGCCAGGUUUCUCUAAGCUUUACUAGGCUACUCAAAACUCAUAACCUGUACCAUGAUGGAAUUUGAUAUUGUUUUUGGACUGAUCUGUAAAUAAAUACAUUUGUAAUUUAGAUUUCCAUUUAGACAGUUCGUUAUUCAUGAUAGACUUACUAAAGAAUCUCUCUUUUUAAUGCUAGUGUUCCUGAAUAACACUAUUUAUAACAACAGAAGAAAAAAUACUACUACUAAUAGAUGCAUCUGUCGAUUUUGUACCAUAUGUGAGGUAGUAUGCUAAGCAUCCAUUGUUUAUGGUUCUAGUAAUAACCCUCAAAGGUGGGUAUUAUAUUAUAUUUUUGGAAAACACCAAAAAUGAAGCUUAGAGAGAUUAAGAUAUACAUCAAAAGAACACAGAACUGUGAUCUGAAAUGAGGUCUCUUGGUCUUCAAAGUUCAUAUUUUUUCUAAAGGGCAGGUGUAGAAUUCUUACAUUGAAGAUGUCCUUUAAGAUUCUGGAGCAACUUGGAAGAAAUGAAAAAGGGAAGAGAAACAUAGAGAUUAAGACUGGGCCAGGUGUGGUGGCUCAAGCCUGUAAUCCCAACACUUUGGGAGGUCAAGGUGGGCAGAUCACUUGAGGUCAGGAGAUCGAGAGCAGUCUGACCAACAUGGUGAAACGCCAUCUCUACUAAAAAUACAAAAAUCAGCCGGGCGUGAUGGUGGUCGCCUGUAAUCCCAGCUACUCGGGAGGCUGAGGCAGGAGAAUUGCUUGAACCUGGGAAGAUGAGGUUGCAGUGAGUCGAGAUUGUGCCACUGUACUCCAGCCUGGGCAACAGGUGAGACUCUGUC